GUUUUAAGUUGAAAAUUAAUUAGGAGAUUGAUGAAGGUGUGAGGAUUAAAAUUCUAAAUCAAGUACUAAUUUUUAUUUUUAAUUUUUUUUAAAGUUAUGUAAUUGAGAUGAACUAAAUUCAUUAACACCUCAAUAUUAGGAACUUGCAAAACCUGAAAACCAAUAAGGUCUUGAAAAAAAAUGAACAUUAGUAGUUAGAGACCGAAUAAUAAUUUUUCCUAGAAUAAAAUACAAAGCAUUAAGCUUGGGCUCGAAAGCCUAAACUGGUUUUAACCAAACCGCAUAACAAUGGUUUGUUUGGGUUGUCUUCACCUGUAUUCUAGUUAAAUCAAAACGAUUCAACCGGACUGUAUCGCCCCUACUUAUACUAAGAGAAAUCACAUUCAGUCCCCCUACUUAUACUAGAGAAAUCACAUGUCAUUAUUAGUGGUAUUUUUACUGUAUAGGGCAUAAAAUAAAGCUUGAAGUAAUGCGGUGCAUCAACUUUAAGGAAUCUAUCAUUGUAUUAUAUUCACUGGGAUCAAUUCAAAAGAAUAUAUGCUUGUUUACUUUAUCAUCCAUAAUAUACGUACUUCGUUUCUUCAAGUUUCACAAAGGCGUUAGCUUGAGUACUGUUGAGGGCAAACUUAAGUGUCCCAACGCAACUGUUUGGUUUUGAAGAUUGGUCCCCCAGCUAGCUAGGUAUCAAUCUUACGUACUUGAUAAGAUGGGAGGUGGAAAGGACGAGAAGCAUGAGACAACUGAGAAAGCACUAUUUUCAUAUGGUGGUGUGUAUGGAUAUGGAUAUCCCCCGCAAGCACAUCAUGCAUACCCUUCUUCUGGCGGGUAUCCUCCACCUGCCUAUCCUUCUUACGUGGGACAUCCACCAACCUCCUAUCCACCAACUGGUUAUCCAGUGCAUGGAGUGCUGGCAUGGGAAUGGGAGGGAUGUUAGCUGGGGGUGCUGUCGCAGCUGUUCCUGCGUAUGGGGCCGACCAUCUUGUGUAUGAAGGUGGGGGCAACCAUGACUAUGGCGCUUACCAUGGAAAUGGUGGUUGCCGUGGCUAUGGGGGUGCCCCCGGCUAUAUUGGCAAGCCCUUUGGGAGCUAGUUCAACAAAUGGAAGUAAAACAUAUGAUAUGGUGGAUCUGCCAAUCUAAGGAAAAUAUAUGGUCCCUGCAUCAAGAUCCAAAACUAGUGUAAGAUAAUCUACUUACGCCCUUUCUAAUAAUUACUCUAAAAGUAAAUACAGACUCAUUUGUAUUUUAUAUUGUAUUUCUAUACAUAAAAAUAAAUGAAGACGUAUUUGUAUAUUGUAUUUUUCUCUCUUCCAAGAGCCCCUAUCUUAAUAUUUGCGACUUUAAAUCUCGUUUUCCUAUGAUUAGGGCUAGCCAUUUUAGCUAAUGAAACCAAAUUAACCGGUCUGGUCAGUUCGAACUAGUGCAUUCUUUUGCCAAAAAAAAAAAUAAAAUAAAAUCUUUAUGUUGUGGCGAAAAAUAUUGAAUGAAUUUAACUUAGACAAGGAUAUUUGAAAAUCAACGGUGACAUAGCUAACUAACUUUAACCUCUCCCCACAAGUUAAAAUUUCGAGCUAGACUUGCUUCACAUAUUAACUAUGUUGAUUUGAUCCCACACGCCCUCUUUGUGUGUCGCUCUUCCCUUGAAAUAGUGAAUCAAUUAUUUUAACCCUUGCAGUCAAUUUAAUUAGACUGUCUUUGGAGGCAUAACGAAAAUAUGCCUCCCCAAACUUAAUUCAUUAGGUAUCGGUCAAUGAGGUAGGCACAUGGUAGUUAGGCCCUUAUAAUUAGUUCACCAAUUUACUCCUCAACCCUUAAGAGUCAAGCAUCUCCAUGUUUUUCUACAAAUUAUUUCCUUCCCCAAACUUAAAGUAAAAUAAAAAGUAUUGAGCAAUUAUCUGGAUUUUGGAAUAACGUUGUUCAUUGGUUGGGGUAAUUACAAAAAGUAAACCCGUCCGAGUACUCCCCACCAUCUUCUUCCUUCUCCAUCAUAUGUCAUCCCUCGUCUUCCAUGAUGGCAAUUAUCCAUCCAUUCUUUAAAUAGAUGCUUUAUUUCACUUGAAAAUUAAAGCUUUAUUUCAAAGACAUGGAAUCUAUCUUGGAUUUCUCCACCUUGGUUUAAUUCUGAAGUUAUGCAAUGAUCUACCCAUUCUUUUAAGUAGGAGCAACACCAGCCAUCAACAAGAUUCUUGAUGAGAUCGAGAUUGUCGGAUCUCACGAGCAAGAAUUGCGAAGUCACAUUGCGUAGACGCUUCUCGGCUUCCGCUCUAUUUGGAUACAUGGUUCUCCAAUGCUGACGAUGAUGUUUGCUAAUUUUAGAAUUAGGGAAAAGAAAAUGCCAAAAAUCAAAAUGGGAAAAUUGAAGAAAACAAUGUUUCUUCAUCAUACCAUCAUCCCCGAUUCGAGCGGUCCGCGGAUGAGGAGCUGCAACUACUGGAGGAUUAUGGGAUCAGAAAACGAAGAUUUCUUCAUGAAGCAGUCACACUUGUUUGGAUUUGAGCGAAGCUCGGCAUCAGAGUAUGCUGCAACUAUACCCCAGAUCAGACACUACAUUGCAGUUUCUGCUGUAGUGUUGUAAAUUCAGACUCUGCAUUGUAGUUUCUGUUUUUUUAUAGUCAAAUUAUUCACAUUUAAUAUUAGAUUUAAUUAAAUCUUAUAUAAAGCAGUCAAACUCACUCA